GCCUCAGUGGCGUAGCGGUAGCGCGUCUCCCUAGUAAGGAGAAGGUCAUCAGUUCAAUCCUGGUCUGAGGCA